GUGAAGACACAGACCUGUGGCUCCAACUCUGCUUGGCUUUCUGUUUGGCACCUCGGCCCUGUCUUUCCUUCUGGAAGAUGGAGACUCCUGAGGACUCCAGAUGAAAGCUUCUUACAUAGGUCCUGAGAAUUGAACCCAGGACCCACUCACGCUUGCAUGGCAAGCACUGCGGGUGUGGACAGGGUCUAGUCCAGUCUCUGAACUUCACUCUGAACUUCCCCCACAAAAAACCGAGAUCCAGGGUAAGUAGCGCAAUGUUUUCACAACUGUAAAUACGUCUGGAUGAGUAAGACCUGCCUUGAAGUGGCCAAAGGGAGUAAUGGUUAAUUAAGCCCAAGAUUCCAGACCACCAUAUUAAAAACAGCAUGUCUGCACGUUCACACUUAAACAAGUAUCUCAAGAACAGCUCUUCUUUCUCAGGGUCCCAGGGAAUUUCAACCAGUGUCAAGAAGCAGGUUGGGCCGGUCUGCCAGCUUGUGGCCACCAGACACCAAUAGCUUUGUUGCUUUGGCGCCUGCAGAUCGGGCCUUCCAGACUGUUGAGGCCUCCCUCUCAGGCAGAAUGUCCCAGCCGGUGCUCUGAGAGGGCCCAGGGAUCAGAGGACAAGCUGACCAGAAAAGCAACCACCUAACAAAUGCCAAGUCACAAAGGCAUGCAUGGGCUCUGUGGGAGACAGGCUUCAGGACAGGCCCCAAGGGCAGGUGGCUGAGGUUCAAAGAAACAGGUGUGCAUCACAUGGGGUAUCCCUGCGGCCAGCGGGACAGGCACGGAGGUUCAGCCUCCUUGUUCUUUUCUCAUUCUUUCUUUCCCCUUUCCUCCUUACUAAGAAGAGGCAUGUUAUGCAAGGGGAGGCCCAGAUUGCAAUGAAGGAGGAGAACGGCUCUGGGUGGCGGCCACUGUCCAGCCCUGUUCCUACACCAAUGACAUCCAUCACAAGGCAGAUGCUGACUUCCAAGAGCCAGCUCAGCUGAAGCCAAGACGUUGGUUGCUGUGUCUAACUGGAGCAAAAGCAAGUGAGCUGGGAGCUGCUUGCAUCGCAACUUCAGUGGAGAGAUUGUGAAAACCACCCACAGCCAAGGCGAGGGCAGCCAACUUGGCCAUUCCUGGCCUAGUCCACCACCUCCCUUCCCCCGCUGAAGACUGCAGCCCUUCUGUGUUUUACUGUGAACUGGGGCACUGUCACUACUCCACCAACAAAGCCUUCAAAGGCUGAGGCUGGACAUUAACAGCGG